UAGCAAACUAGUAAGCCAAUUGGAAAACAGACUAGAUUUACAGAAAGGGACAAUAUGACCCAAGCUUUCAAUGAAGAAAGAAGAAAAGUGCAUGAAAUUGCCUGUGGUCAUCUAAAAAAGGUUCCCCACUCACCAUGCAAUUGGAACUUCAGAGGAAGAAGCUGGAGGAGAGGGAGCCAGAGUUGGGAGAAAAUGAGAAUUCAUGGCUCUACCGUGAGAAAAAUCAGAAUGCAAUAGCAACCUUGAAAUUAAAGAGAGCAGAUGAAAAGAUGUUACUCUUGGCAGAAGAAAAAGGGGCUGCUCUUUAUUGUGUAAUGGAGUAAUAACUUGGGCAAUUUGAACAUAUGGUCUUCAGAUCACCCUUUUUCCUUAGAUAGCUACCAACAAUAUUGUUUGUGUCGUGAUCAUCCUUUCGAGCCAUCCAACCAUAUAGCUUCUCUAUAUUCUUUCCAUCCCGCAAGUAGUUUCUCUUUCCUUGAUGUCGACCCUCAUAAGCCUUUCUCGAACUUGAAGGCAUCAGCUAGCUAGUCCGAGCCACUGAGGAUUAAACUCUAUUAUUGUGAACCUGGAGUGACCUUCUUUACUCCACAAAGGGGAUACCUUCACAGGAUCAAACCCCUCCCUUUUUAGCAUAUCUUUAAGAGUUGAGCCACUCGGUCCAACAAGACGCCCAUCAUCCAAAUGAACGGGGGACAUUUGCUAAAAUUUCCAUCCAUGGACACACGUAGAAUUUAUCGUUGUCAUGACUCUCAGUAGUAUCCCCUUUUGAUAAGUUAGAUAUGUAUGACAUCAUUCCCUUUAUUCCAAUAUCUUUUUGUUAUUGGAUCUGUGCUAUUGUGUAUGUGUAAG